rnacentral:miRNA from 1 species
GAGCACAGUUUGGUCAUGGAGC